rnacentral:rRNA from 1 species
AAAAAAAAAAAAGCGUGGGGAAUCUGCCUUUGAGCUGUGGACAACAUUUGGAAACGAAUGCUAAUACCGCAUACAAACUUUAAACACAAGUUUUAAGUUUGAAAGAUGCAAUUUCAUCACUCAAAGAUGAUCCCGCGUUGUAUUAGCUAGUUUGUGAGGUAAAGGCUCACCAAGGCGAUGAUACAUAGCCGACCUGAGAGGGUGAUCGGCAACAUUGGGACAGAGAAAAGGCACAAAUUCAUACGGGAGGCAGCAGUAGGGAAUCUGCGGCGAUGAACGAAAGUGUGACCGAGCAACGCAGCGUGAGUGAAGAAGGUUUUUUUAUUUUU